UUCAAAGAUCACAUAAUUAAUCU
rnacentral:snRNA from 1 species